UGUCUGUGUGGGAUAUGACCCUGUUUUUGUCAUACUUUCUCAAAGCCUGAGGAAUUUAUGAAAAUAUCACGUUAAACUCACCACUUCCCUACCCACAAGGCAAGUGACAGUAAGUGUCGGGUACAAAAGGUCCCAUCAGCUCUUCACAUCACAUUUGACAACAUUCACUCCUUGAAAACAGUCUUUUGACUCAAUCUGUUGGAAGGAUGAAGUUGGUGAUGGUUUUCCUUGUGCUUUCGCUGGUCGUCCUCAUGGCCGAACCCGGAGAGUGUUUUUUCAAACACUUCAGAUCCUUGUGGAAAGGUGCCAGGAUGGCCAUGAGAGCUCACAAAACUGUUCGAAGGGGGUUUGGCAGGUUCCAGAAUCAACCAAGACGUGGCAUGGGCAACCAACAAGCUCCGUGUGUUUGGAAGGGCUGAUUGUAGUUGAUCUGACUGCUUUCUCAUUUCCCAUGCAAGAAACGUUUGUAUGAAGCAUUUGAGAUUUUGGGCCCUGAUCCAAUUGGUUUUGAAAAAUUGCAAGUGUUGCAAACGGUCCUGCGGAAUAAAGCUUUAAUGAAAAGGC